CUCUCUCUCUCUCUCUAAAACGAAGAACAUGCAAACCAGAAACCAGUUUCCCCGAUCUCGAUCCGUCUGAUUUGAUGAAAGAAACUGCUCUUUCACCACAGUAAUCUUCAGAUCAAUCGAAAUUAGUCACAAUCGUCGAGUUUGGGUAAUCAAAUCGGACUGAUCCAACCUCAAAUCAGAGAGAGUGUUGAUGAGAAUCAGAGUGUUUGGUGAAACAAUCCUCAAAUCUCCUUCUGGUACGAUUAUCUCUAUUUUUUUUUUGUAUAGCUUCAUGAAUUAGGGUUAUUAAGGUGUGAUUGGGAUUUGGCGUCAUGAAUUAGGGUUUUCGAAUUGGGAUUUGUAGUCAGAAAAUUAGGGUUCAUCAAUGUUAGCGCAAUUAGGGGUUUUAUAAUCAAUAAAUAGUUUUUUCUUCGUUUUUAUUGAUGAUUGAAAUCGAUUUUGGUUGUGUGUUAGUCUAGAAGUAAAGAUUUCGUUUCUCUGUUUUGGUUGCGAAGUUGAAUAAGUUUUGUUUGUCUUAUUGAAAUCGUUUCUGCGGUGUUUCUGUCAUGUAAUUUAUGUAAGUUUUGGUUGUCUGAUUGAAAACUUGGCUACCUUUGUCAAUCGUUUAUGUUAUACUUGAGUAUGUAUUUGUGAGGUUAAUUGAACUGUUCUGUUCUUCAACUAUAUACUUGAAUUGUUCUUGAACUGCAUGAAUUUGAUCAUAUAUGUCUUGUGUGUGUAUUUGUGAGGUUAAUUGGUGAGGCAUCGAAGCAAGAUAUAAUUCAAUGGAGAAGCUAAACAUGGAACAUUCCACCAAUGAAGGAAGCUUGCAUACAUUGAUGUCUUGUUGGGAAGAAGCUUGAAAUGAAGUGUUGUGACAUGAAGUGUUGGGAAACAAGUUUUGUGAUGCUAGAGUCAAGUUAGUUUUUGUAAUAAUUGAGUGACUAUCAAGCUAUGUAUAAUACACAUAUUUUAAAAUUUCAAAUUUUUAGAAUCUCUUAACAGCUUUACCAUUGGACUUCAUAAAAAUUAUGUACUUUUCUAAGUU